rnacentral:lncRNA from 1 species
CAGCUCUGAUACACAUUUCUGUGACAGGAAAAAACAGUCAGCAAACUGAUAACAAUGGGAAAAAUAACCCUAAGAAGUUUGAUUUUUUACAAUAAAGAAGGAAAGAAAGAAAAGGGAAGGAAGAAAGGAAGAAAGGAAGAAAGAAAUAAAAAGAAAAAACUGAGCAUUUGCAAAAAAAAAGGAGAAUUCAUGGCACAGCGACACAGGUGCUGCAACUCAUACUUCUGCCAAGGAUCCAGCGUCUGAUGGACCUGAAACACUCUCCAAGCAAUGGCAACCUACUUUGUGUGCCCAUCUGUAAUAACUGUGCUACAUGGCUCUUGCUAAAAAUGAUAAAUGAUAAUGACUUGCUGUCAAAACAAGUUUCAAGGUAACACCUGCUCAUGAGUAAUAUCAAAAUAAUUAAGUCUACAUAGAAGCAUAGCCAAAAUCUUUCCCUUGCUUAAAACUGACUUGUGAGUGUGGGGAAAGGAAGUGUCAAAUUGUCAAAUUCUACAGUAAAUAACGAUGCUGAAAAUGACACAGUCUAGGCAAUCUGGCCCAGAUAACAUCUUGAACCCCAUGACUGUCAGAAUAGAACAGAGGCAGAAGCUCCCCCAAAUGAUCUUUUUUUUUCUGACAGAAGGCAGCCAACAAAAAUGACAGACUGGGAUUAUGGAUAACGCUCUGGCUUCACAUCCAGCCUAAAACCAAAUGCAGUGAUAGGUAUCAAGCAAAGACAUUUGUGUCUGUUUUGUUCUCAGAGCCAGUGACAAUUAUUUAUCUGCCAAGCAUAUUUAGAUACACUAUGCUUCAGCACCUCUGACAAAGACAUGAAGUCUUCCUGUUCCCUGGGUAAACUUCUUCAAAAGAAGAAAGAAAAGCAAAAUAGAUGGACUGCCACUUCUCUGGUAGUCUGCACUGACAGCUAAAAUCAUGGCGGUUCUUCUUCCACACCCUUCAGUCCCCCAGGUUCCAGCUAAAGUGCUGUGCCACAGAGAGAGCUGCAUGAUGCCUUUUGUCUCCUUAUGUCUCCGGAGUGGUCAAGCCAUCAGCCUCCAACUAUUCCACUGU